AGCAGAUCAGCUCACAGAGCAACAAAUGUGGCCCACACCCAUUCAAGGGAGAGAGAGAGAAAAAAAAACACAUUGCGCAUAGGUCUCCAACUUAACACUCCUGUCAACUUAACAUCAUAACAGUUGCACAAAUUCAUCACGGAAAGGGAGUUGAAAGAAAACGUAUUGCUUGACUUGGACUUGUAUUGACUGUUCAUCAUGGAGGCACCAACAACAGCAGGUACAAUAAGCCACUCGGCAUCGGAAGAGGCCUUCAGCCACAUGGUCAGUCACAUCAUAGAACUCUUCACACAGCCCUCCGUAGCUGAAGAUCUGACAACAACUUCUGCACAUAUGACUGAAACAAUCUCAGACACUUCUGUGGGAGUUCUGAGAACAACUUCUGCACAAAUGAUUGAAACAAUCUCAGACACUUCUGUGGGAGUUCUGAGAACAACUUCUGCACAAAUGAUUGAAACAAUCUCAGACACUUCUGUGGGAGUUCUGACAACAACUUCUGCACAUAUGACUGAAACAACCUCAGAUGCUUUUUUAGGUAACUACAUUACUGUCUUCAGAAAUCACACAUUGAUGAAGGCUGAAGGGGGAGAGAGAGAAAUUCCAACAUGUGAAGAUACCUAUAGCGGCGGACAAAUUCAAUUGAAGUCGGAGGAUUACAUACACCUUAGCCAAAUACAUUUAAACUCAGUUUUUCACAAUUCCUGACAUUUAAUCCUAGUAAAAAUUCCCUGUCUUAGGUCAGUUAGGAUCAUCACUUUUUUUUAAGAAGGUGAAAUUUUUUUCAGCUUUAUUAUCUUUCAUCAUAUUCCCAGUGGGUCAGAAGUUUGCGUACACUCAAUUAGUAUUUGGUAGCAUUGCCUUUAAUUGUUUAACUUGGGUGAAACGUUUUGGGUAGCCUUCCACAAGCUUCCCACAAUAAGUUGGGUGAAUUUUGGCCCAUUCCUCCUGACAGAGCUGGUGUAACUGAGUCAGGUUUGAAGGCCUCCUUGCUCGCACACGCUUUUUCAGUUCUUCCCACAAAUUUUCUAAAGGAUUGAGGUCAGAGCUUUGUGAUGGCAACUCCAAUACCUUGAUAUUGUUGUCCUUAAGCCAUUUUUCCACAACUUUGGAAAUAUGCUUGGGGUUAUUGUCCAUUUGGAAGACCCAUUUGGGACCAAGCUUUAACUUCCUGACUGAUGUCUUGAGAUGUUGCUUCAAUAUAUCCACAUACUUUCCUUUCCUCAUGAUGCCAUCUAUUUUGUGAAGUGCACCAGCCCUCCUGCAGCAAAGCACCCCCACAACAUGAUGCUGCCACCCCGUGCUUCACGGUUGGGAUGGUCUUCUUCGGCUUGCAAGUCUCCACAUUUUUCCUCCAAACAGAAUGAUGGUCAUUAUGGCCAAACAGUUCUAUUUUCGUUUCAUCAGACCAGAGGACAUUUCUCCAAAAAGUACGAUCUUUGUCCCCAUGUGCAGUUGCAAACCGUAGUCUGGCUUUUUUAUGGCGGUUUUGGAGCAGUGGCUUCUUCCUUGCUCAGUGGCCUUUCAGGUUAUGUCGAUAUAGGACUUGUUUUACUGUGGAUAUAGAUACUUUUGUGCUUGUUUCCUCCAGCAUCUUCACAGGGUUCUUUGUUGUUGUUCUGGAUUGAUUUGCACUUUUCGCACCAAAGUACGUUCAUCUCUAGGAGUCAGAAUGCGUCUCCUUCCGGAGCGUUAUGACAGCUGCGUGAUACCAUGGUGUUUAUACUUGCGUACUAUUGUUUGUCAAGAUGAACGUGGUACCUUCAGGCGUUUGGAAAUUUCUCCUAAGGAGGAACCAGACGUGUGGAGGUCUUCAAUAUUUUUUCUGAGGUCUUGGCUGAUUUCUUUUGAUUUUCCCAUGAUGUCAAGCUAAGAGACACUGCGUUUCAAGGUGGGCCUUGAAAUACAUCCACAGGUACACCUCCAAUUGACUCAUAUGAUGUUAAUUAGCCUAUCAUAGGCAUCUGAAGCCAUCUCGACAUUUUCUGGAAUUUUCCAAGCUAGCACAUUCUGAAUGGCUGUUGGCCAAGCCUUGACACACCCACAACUUGUUUAUUCAUAUAAACCCAGGCCUUUCCCGCUACCGCCAGCAAUUGUGCCCAUAAUUGUGGUUGUGAAAAUAGCUCAAAUAUUUCUGCCCCCUCCACAUGUGUUAUUACAUAACACAAAAAAAGUGCAAUAGCAUCAACUGUAAUAAAGUGUUAAUUUAAGUCUAAAUUUGCAACACCCAUGGUGUUAGGGACCAACACUCUAGGGGUGUCAGUUUGUGAACACUAUUUCGGUGGAUCACAAGUGUUAAAUUGAACACUGUGGGUGUUACUGAUCUAAAAUGUGCUGUGGACAUACAACUGUUUAUUAUAGUGAAGAAGGUCAAUUACAACCGACAAGUAAGAAAAACGGAAAAGUAGGGUAAGAAUUAAAUGAGGAAAGUAGAAAAUUAGGACAUACCAAAACAGGAUAAAACAAGAGACGGCCACACUGGACAGGACCGGACAAGACAAAGCAUGACUUGUGGAAAAGUUGCCUGUUACCAUAGGGCUGUUAGUAGGUAGGAGGUACCAUUUGAAUGUUGUCUGAGGUGGCCUGCGGGCAAUGUAGGAUAGGAAUGGUUCCUAGAUUGUGUCCUUCAGUUUGUUAUUUUGUGGAUCUCUCCAGGGAGGCCAGGUCAGACAUUAAAUGAAGCCAGUGUAUGGUUGAAACAUUGGAUCUGCUUAUCCAGUUUAGAAAUAUCCCCUUAUGGGCGACUGUUAAUGAAAUCAACAGGAAAUGUAGUUUGUCCUUGGACAUAGAGGAAACAAAGGUGGACGUCAUCAUCAAAGUAGUGGAGGAUGCAGAGUUUUGGGGAUGCAAGAAUGGUAAUAUGGAGGAUGACUGAGGGAAUGCUCAGAACUUUUUUCCCAGUAAUUCUCAAGGAUGGGACAAGACCAGAAUGCAGGGAGGUGAGUGUCAGGAAAGUACUUUUGGCAGACUGGACACAGAGGCGAUCAACAAGCCCCACCAGGGACAGAAAUAGGGAAUUAUUACUGAAAAGAACAAUGUUGGCAAUACACAGUUGAAGUCGGAAGUUUACAUACACUUAGGUUGGAGUCAUUUAAACUCGUUUUUAAACCACUCCACACAUUUCUUGUUAACAAACUGUAGUUUUGGCAAAUCGGUUACAUCUACUUUGUGCAUGACACAAGUCAUUUUUCCAACAAUUGUUUACAGACAGAUUAUUUCACAUAUAAUUCACUGUAUCACAAUUCCAGUGAGUCAGAUGUUUACAUACACUAAGAUGACUGUGCAUUUAAACAGCUUGGAAAAUUCCAGAAAAUGAUGUCAUGGCUUUAGAAGCUUCUGAGAGGCUAAGUGACAUCAUUUGAUUCUGUGCCUUUAAACAGCGUGCUCCAUGGCAAAAUAUGUGGUUUGCUUCAAGUUUACGGUCUUGUCAUCAACUCCAAUUCGAAUGCUCAUCCGUCAUAGCCGAGUUUGUUAAAUGUGUUGAACAUGCUUGCAGUCCACAUUGUUGUAAUUGCAUUGCUUCAAUGUGGAAAUACAUGGUUAAACAUAGGCGGUAGGAUUUGGACGGGGACAUACCAAACAUGGUCAAUAAGCAAGAUUCAAUUCACUCGGCUAUUGAUGAGACCUGAAAAGACUGUGUCUAACUCUGAUCGAAUUCUAAUAUGAAUUUAAAAAACAACCUGUUUUAAAUAGGCUAAGUCUGAAUACAGUUACAGGCACCAUAAUUGCUCCCAGAGGACGUGUAAUACAGCUGGUUUUGCGCACAUACAUCCAAACUUUUCACAGGAUCUAAUAUAAAGAGAAGGAGGGGGGGGUUCUAAAUAGGAUCGGUUCUGAGGCGUGAUGUCAUAAAUGGCUUCUCUCGUUCCAUGACACUGAAUGUCUUUCCGCAUAACAACACACAUCUAUCCACGCCUCUCCUGUCAAUUGUAUUGUUGCCGAUGUGCAAGGCAGAUUCUCAAAACAAAUCUGCCAUUGAUAUGACAUUAUACACUCUUAGAAAAAGGGGUCCCAAAGGGUUCUUCGGCUGUCCCCAUAGGAGAAGGCUUUUUGGUUCCAGGUAGAACCCUGGGCACUGUGCGUCGUGGCUGGAUUGGCUGCUCAUCUCAAAACCCAUUCCAUUAUCAACUCCAUUACCGUUAAGAUGGUCUUUUUGUGAGUCUUAACAUGUCCUGUUUUGCGCUGAAUGAAAUGGUCACUUCUGCUUGUGUUUUUAAAGGUUGCGGAUGGUCAAAAUCAUGUUUUGCACGACAUUUGAUUAUAUUUAGAUGAGACGUUGAUAAAGUUUGAACAUAAAGUUACUGGGCCCCUCCCCCAUGUCAAACACUUGGAUUCGGGAGGCGGGAUUACUAAGGGGAUAGGGGGACAUCAUCCUAACUAUCAUUUUAAUACCACAAAAAUAAAGAAAAUAAAUUAAAAUAAAUGGUAUGAACAAAUAUAUUGGCACCCAGGAGAAUACUUUGGUUAUACAGCAUUUGGCAAAGAUACACUACAUGACCAAAAGUAUGUGGACACCUGCACGUCGAACAUCUCAUUCCAAAAUCAUGGGCAGUAAUAUGGAGUUUGUCCCCCCUUUGCUGAUAUAGUAGCCUCCACUCUUCUGGGAAGGCUUUCUACUAGAUGUUUGAACAUUGCUGCAGGGACUUGCUUCCAUUCAGCCACAAGAGCAUUAGUGAGGCUGGGCACUGAUUAUGGGGUGAUUAGGCCUGGCUUGCAGUCGGCGUUCCAAUUCCUCCCAAAGGUCUUCGAUGGAGUUGAAGUCCGGGGUCUGUGCAGACCAGUCAAGUUCUUCCACACCGAUCUUGACAAACCAUUUCUGCAUAGACCUCGCUUUGCACGGGGGCAUUGUCAUGCUGAGACAGAAAAGGGCCUUCCCCAAACUGUUGUCAUAAAGCUGGAAGCACAGAACCGUCUAGAAUGCCAUUGUAUGCUGUAGCUAUAACAUUUCCCUUCACUGGAACAAAGGAGCCUAGCCCGAACCAUGAAAAACAGCCCCAGACAAUUAUUCCUCCUCCACCAAACUUUCCAGUUGGUACUAGGAAAUUGAGAUCUGCCGGACUGCCAGAUGAAGCGUGAAGCGUGAUUCAUCACUCCAGAGUCCAAUGGGGGCAAGCUUUACACCACUACAGCCAACGCUUGGCAUUGCGCAUGGUGAUCUUAGGUUUGUGUGUGGCUGCUUGGCCAUGGAAACCCAUUUCAUGAAGCUCCAGAUGAACAGUUCUUGUGCUUACGUUGCUUCUAGAGGCAGUUUGGAACUCGGUAGUGUGUGUUGCAACCAAGGACAGACAAAGUUUAUGUGCGUCCCGCUUCAGAACUCGGCGAUCCCGUUCUGUGAGCUUGUGUGGCCUACCACUUCGCGGCUGAGCCGUUGUUGCUCCUAGACGUUUCCACUUCACAAUUAAAUCCCUUACAGUUGACCGGGGCAGCUGUAGCAGGGCAGAAAUUUGACCAACUGACUGGAAAGGUAGCAUCCUAUGACGGUGCCACAAGUCUCUGAGCUCUUCAGUAAGGCCAUUCUACUGCCAAUGUUUGUCUAUGGUGAUUGCAUGGCUGUGUGCUCGAUUUUAUACACCUGUCAGUAAUGUGGCUGAAACAUCCGAAUCCACUAAUUUGAAGGGUGUCCACAUACAACUUUGUAUAUAUAGUGUAUUUUUCACUUUGGAGUAGACAACAUGUUUGCAGUUCUCUCUCACCCUUCUAUCUGUACAGUGCCAUGCAAAAGUAUUCAUUCCCCUUGGGGUGUUUCCUAUUUUGUUGCAUUACAACCUGUAAUUUAAAUAUAUUUUUAUUAGGAUUUCAUGUAAUGGACAUACACAAAAUAGUCAAAAUGGAAAAGAUAACUUGUUUCAAUAAAUUCAAAGAAAUCAAAAAUGGAAAAGUGGUGUGGGCGCAUGUAUUCACCCCCUACGUUAUGAAUCCCCUAAAUAAGAUCUGGUGCAACCAAUUACCUUCAGAAGUCACAUAAUUAGUUAAAUAAAGUCCACCUGUGUGCAAUCUAAGUGUCACAUGAUCUGUCACAUGAUCUCAGUAAAUAUACACCUGUUCUGAAAGGCCCCAGAGUCUGCAACACCACCAAGCAAGCAGCACCACCAAGACCAAAGAGCUCUCCUAAUAGGUCAGGGACAAAGUUGUGGAGAUGUACAGAUCAGGGUUGGGUUAUAAAAAAAAAAUCUGAAACUUUGAACAUCCCACGGAGCACAAUUUAAAACAUUGAAAAAAUAUGGCACCACAACAAACCUGCCAAGAGAGGGCCGCCGACCAAAACUCACAGACCAGGCAAGGAGGGCAUUAAUCAGAAAAAUGCAAAGGGGGUGAAUACUUUCGCAAGCCACUGUAUCUAUGUGUGAUUUCUGAAGACUGUAAUAUUUACCUAUAAAAAAGGUGUCCACAUACUUUUGGCCAUGUAGUGUAUGUAUGAAUAUAAAAAGGGAGAUAUAUGCAAAUGUUGUAUGAACAGGCAGGGGGAUAUGGAUAUGACAAGGCUGGGUGUGAGGAGACAGAGAGUGAGCACGAGCAAUCUCUCCCUGAAGUCUCUCACUGUGUGUGUGUGUGUGUGUGAGUGAGUAGACAGAGAGAGCAAUCUUUCCCUGAAGCCUAAAUGCCUCAGUCUCAAUUACCAUCCUGUCUCUGACCUCAAACAGUGAGAGUUAAUAAGGCCUGUGAACUCUCCUCUCCCUGCUCAAACAUGUAUUCUCUCAGUACUGACACACACACUACUAACACCUCGUACCCUCUUUCACCCCCGGGGUAGCUAGUCUUCUGAAUGCAGCAACCUCACGCUCUCAGUUCAACCUCCGCCAUGUCAUCCACUACACUUGUGCCCCCUUGUUCAGGGAGGGUGGUUAUCGACGCAUGUAUCCUGAUAACGACUUGGUGUGCGCAACAUACACUAUAGAGUGUGCUACUUUUUGACCAGAGCACCAGGGGCCCUGGUCAAAAGUAGUGCACUAUGAAGAAAAUUGGGUGCCAUUUGGGAGGCAUCCUUGGAAGGGGUUGCACAUUUUGCGAUAGUGAUUAAUGAAUCAUUAAUGAUAGGCUGAACUCCUCUGAUGAAGCAGGUAAUUAAGAGUUAAUGAGGUAUUGCACACCGACGCGUCCCAGCACACUUCUUGUUUUUUUUUGUUGCUUGGCACUUUUGAAAUGUGACUUUUUUUCCCUACACACCUGGAAGUGUGUGUGUGUGUGUGUGCGCGUGUGUGCGUGUGUGUGUGUGUGCGUGAUGCACUGUAAGAUUGGUUGGGGGGAGGGGAUGACACACAUUGAGCUGAUUGGAGUGUUUGUGUGUGUCCCCCCCCCCCAGCUAGAUUAAAGUCAAGGUGGAUUGGACAGCUGUUCCAUUGCAAUAACUUAUACUUAGCAUCUCCUUCAUCACUCUUUAUUUAGUCUCCCUUCCACUUUUGACAGGCAGAAAGGCACCUUCUACCUGUCACUGUUGAAGCGUGAGAAUAACAUUCAGUCAACAGGGCCCUGCGCUCGACUAGCAUCCAAACCAGGGGGUGUACUUGUACAUCAAGCUGCCUUCAUGCUUCCGAACACAGGAGAAUCAGGCUACUUACUGUCGACAGUGUAACUGUACUCAAAGCCACAUCAUAUACUGUACACAUGAAUCUGUCACUACUGUAUAGUCUAAACCAGAGUCAAACUACGGAGACAAACAACGCAAGCAAGCGUCAAACAAGCUAGUGUAAUGAAUGUACGGUGAAAUCUGAAGGGAAGUGUAAUGAUGUAAAUCAGUAGGUACCGUACAUGUCUGUGUGUUGACUACGAGGCUCUGUCUCUCUAAUGUCAUUAUCGUGUUCUCUGUUCUGGUGUCAUUUGCAGUGGGAGCCGCCAUCGUAAAAGGUGUAUCCUUUGAAGUCCUUUUCGUAGGAGUCAUUCUUGUGGUGGUACUGGUGGUGGUACUGGUACUGGUGCUGGUACUGUGUCACAACGGCAAGCAUAAGGGCACUUACCACACCAACGAGGCCGAGUGUGGUGAUUCUGAUUCUGUCGACACGUAUGGUGUUGCCUCUCAAAGCGAACUUGAGAUUUUGAAUGAGGAAGAAUAGAAAGAAGUACACUUCAUUUGAAACAGGACUUUUUCCGAUUCUAAACCGGGGCCAGUUGUCAACUCAAGAUGCCAAAUAUUUUCUACGGAAUUGGUAAUGCCUAUGAUGGUCAUCUAAUUUCAAGGCAACAUUUAUAUGGGGCAUACAACCAUCUCAGCUCUACAGAUUUUGCCACGAAGAGACAGAAUCGUUAGAUCACUUAUUUUUGUAUUGCCCAUAUAUACACUAUAUAUACAAAAUUAUGUGGACACCCAUUAGUGGAUUUGGCUAUUUCAGCCACAUUACAGCCUUAUUUCCCUCAUCAAUCAAUAUAAAGAAACACUUUAAUAAACAAUUAAUAUUCAUUACAUGUGACUAACUUCAAGCUUACAAUUAGUACAGUAGUUAAACCAAUAUCAGAUUGUUGAGGUUUCGAAAAGAUGUAAAAACUAGAGAAAUUUUACAAUCCUUUUUGUCUUCCUUUUAAAAAAAAUGUUUAUACUCAAAAGAUAGUACCUUGUUUGAAUUUCUAUUAUGAGGGUGUUGAGCGAGCUUAAUGCAUAAUAAUGUAUAGCAUUGCUGAAUGUAAUAUCUGUUUUCAAUUUUUUUCUAAAUUGACGUCCAGUAGUAAUCUGAGCUUGUAAAAUGAAAUCAAGGCACAGGCAUCUUUCCUAACGCCAAACUGGAUGUUUUGGUUUUUUUGGCCUGAAGGUACCAAUAACUGAGUAAAGGAAAUGUUACGGCAAGGACCAUAAGAACACACAAAAAUACUUUCAUGAAACUUGAGACAUUUCACCUAUGACAAUACUGGGAACAAAACAGUCAAAAAAAUGUAAAUUCCCCUUCUUCUAAUGCAAGUCUCUGUAACUAAUAUAUUACCAUGUGAUUAAAGAGAAGCGACCUUGUUUUGCCUGAUGAAAACAGUGUCUAAUUAGCAGUAAAACACUUGUUCCAGAGAGGAAGGACUUUUUGUAUCAACAAGGCAACAACAGGGAAGUUUCAAAAGGAAACUGAAGACAGCCGAAUCACACUGCCCCAGCUAGGUGGAAAGGCUUCCAUGUAGUUCAGAGAGGGCAUAUCAACAGGAACGGCCUGAUAAAUGCUCAAAGUAUUAACAUCCCAAAAUACUGUAUCUGUGACUAAAUGUGGUCCAGUUUCUGUUGACGAUAAUGCAUGUCUGUUGUUCUAUCAUGUGAAAGUCCCAUUCGAUUAGCGUUGCGUAUGUAUCAAGCUACACAUUUGAUAAAUUUGCACAGUCAUGGACUAAAUUGUUUUUUUUGUUUUUUCAAAUGAAGAGUUUACUUGUAUA
ensembl:lncRNA